rnacentral:misc_RNA from 1 species
AUCAGCAAUUGCAGCUAAAUACAUCAAAUUCUUCUGAAGUUGAGCUUGGUACUGAGCACAUUCAGCUAGUUUCCCCAGAUUUUGGUUGUCCAGUAUGGCCAAUAUCAACUUUUUGUUCUCAUCAAGAUACUUUUGAAUCUGCUCGGUGGUGAUAUUGGUGGGGGGAAAUGAAGGCAUCAUGGGCAACAUUUGCGGUGGUUGCUGCAUCUUUGGCUUUCCUAAAUAUAAACCUUAGCCCUACCUCUUGGGAUCUGAAAAACAAGCAGCAGCCGCGCGAUCUCACCAACGGCGUGGGUUAGAGGCUGAACCACUGUGUUUGUGACAAAAAUAAAACCGAGAUAACUCUGAUUGCUCGGAGUGGAGAGAGUGAGGGAGGGAGGGAGCGGCUGCGAUUCUGUCGGAAGCCUGGGACUGCGGCAGCUAUAGAGACGGCGGGCGGCGAACGGCGGGGCUGAUAAUGGGAGGAAGGGGGUGGCUGAACGUGAAAUAGGGUUUAGAAAAAAGGAAAGUCGUGAUG